GUACGACUAGUGGACAUGGCACCUGCCCGGUAAGCAGAAGGUUGUGGGUUCGAUUCCCGCCCCUGGACA